UACCUCUUUAGAGUUUGAUCCUGGCUCAGAUUGAACGCUGGCGGCAGGCCUAACACAUGCAAGUCGAACGGUAACAUUUCUAGCUUGCUAGAAGAUGACGAGUGGCGGACGGGUGAGUAAUGCUUGGGAACUUGCCUUUGCGAGGGGGAUAACAGUUGGAAACGACUGCUAAUACCGCAUAAUGUCUUCGGACCAAACGGGGCUUCGGCUCCGGCGCAAAGAGAGGCCCAAGUGAGAUUAGCUAGUUGGUAAGGUAACGGCUUACCAAGGCGACGAUCUCUAGCUGUUCUGAGAGGAAGAUCAGCCACACUGGGACUGAGACACGGCCCAGACUCCUACGGGAGGCAGCAGUGGGGAAUAUUGCACAAUGGGGGAAACCCUGAUGCAGCCAUGCCGCGUGUGUGAAGAAGGCCUUCGGGUUGUAAAGCACUCUCAGUUGUGAGGAAAAGCUAGUAGUUAAUACCUGC
rnacentral:rRNA from 1 species